GGACAAUUUUCUGCCUUCAGUGGGCGAUUACUUGGUUUGGCCAUGUUCUCAACGAUUACGAAACUGUCGUAAGAUUGUUUGAUGUAUUUAUGUUCUCACAUCCAUGGACCUCUAUGUAUCUAUCUGCUGUCGUCGUGUUGCAUAGAGCAAGUGAUAUUUUCUUGACACCGUGCGAGAUGCCGCUUCUACAUCAAAUGCUCUCCAACGUCCCUGAUAAUCUACCAUUAGAUAGUCUUAUAACUGAAACAGAAAAGUUGAUGCGAACCUAUCCACCAGAUGUAAUGGAAACAGUUUUCCGAGAGAUGCACGCUUUAAAUAUUCGUAAGAUAAAGGAAGAGGACGAAGAGAGGAAAAGGAGAGUGGAAC